GUGGAAUUUUAAGGAAGGAAAAGGAACUUAACCCGAAGCUGAGCCAAGGCCAGAGCCGUCUAGCUCUCGCCAACCAGGGGAUGACACGGAGCAUGGAGUCCUGCGGCCCCUGUCCUCGCUGCCCUCUGCAGCCCCUCUCAUCUGCCAGUUGGACUCCCCGCAGGGAGAUGGCCCCGGGCUCACACCUGCUGUUGGUCCACAGAUGUUCGUGAGUCUCUGCCUUCUGCGUUCGCCAUUUUCCAAAAGCCGCCCCGAGCUGGGUAUCGGCACCGUCACCACCACCGCCCCGCUGCGGCUCUGCACAGGUCCUCCUGGCCGCCUCUCAGCUGUCUCGUCUUUGUAGAGUGGGGGACAAGCCCUGCCAUCCUGACGGGCGGAGAGACAGUGGCAGGCACUGCUUCUAUUCGUCCCGCACGCGCUUCCUCCUCCCCUAGUAACGGGGCCCUGGGUUUUACGGGUGGCCAGAGUGCCCGAGCCCCGUGGAGGUAAGGUGCGGCCAGAGGAG
ensembl:lncRNA